GACGAACGCUGGCGGCGUGCUUAACACAUGCCAGUCGAACGGAAAGGCCCUGCUUUUGUGGGGUGCUCGAGCGGCGAACGGGUGAGUAACACGUGAGUAACCUGCCCUUGACUUUGGGGUAACUUCAGGAAACUGGGGCUAAUACCGGAUAGGAGCUCCUGCUGCAUGGUGGGGGUUGGAAAGUUUCGGCGGUUGGGGAUGGACUCGCGGCUUAUCAGCUUGUUGGUGGGGUAGUGGCUUACCAAGGCUUUGACGGGUAGCCGGCCUGAGAGGGUGACCGGCCACAUUGGGACUGAGAUACGGCCCAGACUCCUACGGGAGGCAGCAGUGGGGAAUAUUGCACAAUGGGCGGAAGCCUGAUGCAGCAACGCCGCGUGCGGGAUGACGGCCUUCGGGUUGUAAACCGCUUUCGCCUGUGACGAAGCGUGAGUGACGGUAAUGGGUAAAGAAGCACCGGCUAACUACGUG
rnacentral:rRNA from 1 species